UGGGAAACCAAGUGAAUGCUUGCUUGUUUCUGUAUAAAGCCGUCCAAAGUCCUGUGCAGUGAGACUUUCAGCCCGCUGUCGAAGGCAUAGAAAGGCUACUUUCUGCUGCUGCCAGUUUAUACCCACACGAGUCUUGUCAGCAGUGCCAGCUCCUUGGCAUUUUGUAUGACACUACAUCAUGAGUGACAGCAAAUGUGAUAGUUUUACAGUGUGCAAGUGGCAGACUCAACUUUCACUGUCCUGAAAUGGUACCAGCAGUUGAAACCAAUUGGCUCUGGAGCCCAAGGGAUUGUUUGUGCUGCUUUUGAUACAGUUCUUGG
rnacentral:lncRNA from 1 species